rnacentral:rRNA from 1 species
UGAAGGAACUCGGCAAAUUGACACCGUAACUUCGGAAGAAGGUGUGCCCUGGUAGGUUGUAGCCGUACAGGCGAAGGCCGAAGGGGUUGCAAAAAAUCGGUGGCUGCGACUGUUUAAUAAAAACACAGCACUCUGCAAACACGAUGAGUGGACGUAUAGGGUGUGACGCCUGCCCGGUGCCGGAAGGUUAAAUGAUGGGGUGCAAGCUCUUGAUUGAAGCCCCGGUAAACGGCGGCCGUAACGAUAACGGUCCUAAGGUAGCGAAAUUCCUUGUCGGGUAAGUUCCGACCUGCACGAAUGGCGUAACGAUGGCCACACUGUCUCCUCCUGAGACUCAGCGAAGUUGAAAUGUUUGUGAUGAUGCAAUCUACCCGCGGCUAGACGGAAAGACCCCGUGCACCUUUACUGUAGCUUUGCAUUGGACUGUGAUGGGAUCUGUGUAGGAUAGGUGGGAGGCUUUGAAGUGGGGGCGCUAGCCCUCAUGGAGCCGUCGUUGAAAUACCACCCUGAUGUCAUUGCGGUUCUAACCUUGGCCCCUUAGCGGGGUUGGGGACAGUGCAUGGUAGGCAGUUUGACUGGGGCGGUCUCCUCCCAAAGAGUAACGGAGGAGCUCGAAGGUACGCUAGGUACGGUCGGACAUCGUGCUGAUAGUGCAAUGGCACAAGCGUGCUUGACUGCGAGACUGACAAGUCGAGCAGGUGCGAAAGCAGGACAUAGUGAUCCGGUGGUUCUGAAUGGAAGGGCCAUCGCUCAACGGAUAAAAGGUACGCCGGGGAUAACAGGCUGAUUCCUCCCAAGAGUUCAUAUCGACGGGGGAGUUUGGCACCUCGAUGUCGGCUCAUCACAUCCUGGGGCUGUAGCCGGUCCCAAGGGUAUGGCUGUUCGCCAUUUAAAGUGGUACGUGAGCUGGGUUUAAAACGUCGUGAGACAGUUUGGUCCCUAUCUGCCGUGGGCGUUGGACGUUUGAGGGGGGCUGCUCCUAGUACGAGGGGACCGGAGUGGACGCACCUCUGGUGUACCGGUUAUCACGCCAGUGGUAUUGCCGGGUAGCUAAGUGCGGAAGAGAUAAGCGCUGAAAGCAUCUAAGCGCGAAACUUGCCUCGAGAUGAGACGUCCCGUGAUGUAAGUCACCUAAAGGGUCGCGGUAGACCACCGCGUUGAUAGGUCGGGUGUGGAAGCGCAGUAAUGCGUUAAGCUAACCGAUACUAAUUGCCCGUGCGGCUUGAUCCC